rnacentral:rRNA from 1 species
CCUACGGGAGGCAGCAGUAGGGAAUAUUGCGCAAUGGAGGAAACCCUGACGCAGUGACGCCGCGUAAGGGAUGAAGGUCUUCGGAUCGUAAACCUCUGUUGUUAGGGAAGAAAAAAGACUGUACUAACGGUGGACGCCUUGGCUAACUAUGUGCCAGCAGCCGCGGCAAUAUAUAGGGGGGAAGCGUUAUUCGGAAUUAUUGGGGGUAAAGGGUGCGUAGUCGGAAGACCAAGUUGGAUGUGAAAUCCCUCGGCUCAACUGAGGAACUGCAUCCGAAACUAGACACCUUGAGUGUCGGAGAGGAAAGUGGAAUUCCAAGUGUAGCGGUGAAAUGCGUAGAGAUUAGGAGGAACACCAGUGGCGAAGGCGACUUUCUGGACGAUAACUGACGUUGAGGCGCGAAAGUGUGGGGAGCAAACAGGAUUAGAUACCCUGGUAGUC